ACAGGCAUGUGCCACCACGCCCAGCUAAUUUUGUAUUUUUACUGUAUUUAGUCCAUAUUUGGUAGAGAAAUCACCAUGGGGAGUAAGUAGAUAGAUGCAGGUGUAUCACAUCAUUGUUAGGCUCCAUUAUACUUUUGAAAUCUAUUUGCUACCCUUCUCUGUAAAAGGCUGUAGACUAGAUAUGGUGACAAAUAUGUAGACACAUUCUGUCUAUUUGAAAGGCCUGUCUUUGUCUGUGCUAAUAAUUCUAAAAACUAUUAUGUAAAAUUAUGUUUGGUCAUUUUCCCAUAUAUCUACAAUAAGUAAAGUACAGGUUACUUUAUAGGAUAUACCUACACUAAAUUAUUCUUUUAUAAAUAUUUACUUUGGUUUACUUC
rnacentral:lncRNA from 10 species